AUUUGGUCACCAAUUUUGACUAGUUUUAUUAUUAACAAAUCAAAAAGAAAAAGCUAUCAUUUUUCUCUUCUCCUUCACCGAAAUAUGCAGCAAAGAAAGGGCUUUGAAGCUGGAAAAUUUCAGCAACAUAUUUCCCUUGCUUGUAAGUGAUUUUAAUGUCUUUGCUUGAUGAUUUUUACAUUUUUGGAACCCCUAAAGCAUGAGCUUUCAUGUGAGGGGUCUAUUUUGCAAAAUGAUGAAGAGUCUAGGGUUUUGCCAUGAGAGUAAAUGUGUUGUUUUCUGUGUUUUUAUGGAAGAUUAUGAGUCCUAGUUGUCUAAUAAACAACUUUUGUGAAAGAAAUUGCAUGAAAACACCUUAAAAAAGGCUAGAUUGCUAAGUUGUAAAAUGAGUUGUAAAUGUGUGAAAUAGUUGAAAUUAUGAGUUGCUAUAGUUAUGAAAAUGGUUCAUCUAGACUCAAGGAGUAAAGGAAUGUGAUAAAAAUUAUUUUACGAGCCUAGGGGUAAUUUGGUAAUUUUGGCAAAAUAUAGGAGCAAAACUGUAAAAAUUGCCCAAGUGUGUCAAUGGACUAAUUUGAUCAGUACAUUGUUUUAAUAAGUUGAAUGUGAUAUUUUAGAUGAUGAAAAUCGAGAUUUGGACCUAGAACGGAAAGAAAUCGAUUAAGGGAUAAUUACGUCUUUUUUUUCACCUUUGUGGUAUCGAGGUAAGUUCAUGUGUAAAUAAUGUAGCAUAAUUGUUAUUUUUAAGUUAUUGAUGUUAAAUAUAUGAUAUGCUGGUUUCUAUCAUGAAAUAUAUGCUUUGUGGUUAUUUUCGAAUAAAAUGCAAGUUAUGUGUAUUAUCUGUUAAAUAUAAAGUGCUACCGAGUAUUGGUUUCGGUAUUUUACGGAAGAUGGCAAGGAGAUGUGUUCGAGGAAAAUCCCGUUUGAACCUUAGGAAUAGAUUAGGAUACAAGUGACAUGUCACUAGGAUGGUUGAGCAUCCGAACUCGUUGAGUUGAGUCCGAGUUCACUUAUGGAUGCGAAUGUUCGAACUCGUUGAGUUGAGUCCGAGUUCGUGAGAUGUAACUAGGCAUCCGAGCUCGUUGAGUUGAGUCCGAGUUCACUUAUGGAUGCGAACGCCCGAGCUCAUUGAGUUGAGUCCGAGUUCACUUAUGGGCGGGUUACAUGGUAGCUUGGCUACAUAUGUGGCACUUAUGUGCAAACUUUCCAUGUAUCCGAAUUAUAUUCCGAUGUGUUCAACGGGUAAAAUUCUACUCAAAUGGAGGAAUACUCGAGAUGAAAGGGACGUAUUGGUAAAUGUUGUGAAAUGGAUACUUUGAACAGGUAUGUACUUAACCCUCGGGUUGAAAACUUGACAUAACAACAAUAUGGUAAGAUGAUAAAUGAAAAUGUGAUAUGAAUGUCUCGGUGAUGAUUAUACAAACGAUGUUGUAUUAAUUUUGUGAACAAUGAUCGUGAAUGAGUAAUUUAGCCUUGACAGAUUUGAGUUACUGCAGUAGUGUAACUUUGAAAAUACACUAAAAAUAGUGAAAAAUGAGUUAGAGGCAGAAUAAAAUAUGGGAUUAAAGCUUAAUGAGUCUAUUUUCACAUGAAAGAAACAGGGGAAGAAAAAGAAUUCCAUAUUGUGUGAUAUUUGAAUUCUUGUGAAACAGGGUCUGAAUGAAUUCGAGAUCCCCUGUUCUGACUUUAGAAAUUCACCAAAAAUUGUAAAAAAAUUAUUAAGAGUCAUACCUUACAUUCAUGGAUUCCUUAUUGAGUCUAUUUUUAGGGGAAAUAAACUCCAUGGUCGUUGGAAUUUGUACAGGGAGAAAUUCGGUUUGUAGUGCACAGGGGUCAGAGUGGUCAUACCCUGAAAUAGGGGAGACUUUAACUAAUAAACUGUACUAAUUGGCCCAACCAAAAAUUCUAGAAAAAAAUUAGUAAGUAGAAAUAUGAGUCUAGUUUCAAGAGAAAUAGACAAGAACAUUAUUCGAGUCUUGUACUAUGAGAUAAUUGAAUUUUAGUAUAGAAGGGUCGGAACUGUCAGACAGUGAAUCAGGGGUAAAUUUGAGGAAUAAACUGUACUAUUUGGCUUAACCAAAAAUUCUGAAAAUUUUAUGGAAGAAAUGAAAAUAAGUCUAGUUUCAGGGAAAAUUAACAGAACUUAAUUCGGAGUUUCGUAGCUCCAGAUAUAAAUAAUUUAGUGACCGUUGCUCAGAAAGACAACUUGUAGUGAACUUGAGAAUAUGUUGUAAACAUUGAUAAAAUAAGUUAAUGGGUGCUUAUUGUUUUCAUAUGAACUUACUAAGCGAAAGCUUACCCCCCUCUUCUUUCCCAUGUUUUCUAGGGUUUCCAGGUUAGCUCUGGCUGGAGACCGUCAGAGAUAUUAUCACACUGUCAAGCUAACGCUAUUGGUGUAGUGAUUUCAAGUACUUUGAGCCUAUGGCAUGUAUAGGAGUUUAAAUAUUAGAGUAUGUGAUAUGGCUUUAACCAUAUGUGUUGGCCUAUUUUGAUUAUGGGGUUGUAAAUCUAUUUUAAUUAUGCAUGCAUGUGCUAUGGUAUUAUGUGAUGAGUUUAUAAUGAUUAUAGUAUGAAUGUGGUAAAGAUGUGAGUAAAAUCCAUGAUAUCUAUUGCAUGUGAAAUUGCCAUAAUCAUGACAUGUUAGGAAUGUUUAAGUACCUAAUUUUGCCAUGUUGUAUGUUAUUGUAUAAGUAUGCGUGUAUCUAUUGUGAGUGUGACAAAAUGACUUGGAAAAUAGCCUUGUAUUUGUCCAGGUUUUUGGACACGGGUUUGGGACACGGGCGUGUGCUCUAUACCCACACGGGCGCAUGAAGCCUUGAUGCAAGAGAUUUUCUAAGUUUUUCAUGAGUUCUCAGUUGGGUCCCGAACCACUCCGGAUAUAUAUUUUGGGCCUCGUAAGCCCGUAUAUGGGACAGGUUGUAUGUGAAAAUAAAAGUUUUUAAUUAUUUGAGAUUCCAUGGCCCUGUUUAGUAUGAAAGUGUUAGUAAAAGUCAGGUAGCACCUCGAACUCCGUCCCGGCGUCGGAUGCGGGCGAGGGGUGUUGCAAAUGAGAUGUAAAUUAAAGGACAAAAUAUAAAUAAGGAAUUAAAAAUGCUGAAAAUUAAAUAAAUACAAAAUGGAAAGAUUAAAUAAAAAGAUUAAAUCAAAACCAUAAUAAAAUUUUAGGGGAUAAAAUAAUAAAAAUAGUAAAUAAAGAGGCAGGAUUAAAUAAAUGAGGGAUUAAAUUGAAAUUUAAAUAGAACUUAAAGCAUAAAUUGUGAAAUAAAUAAGAAAAAGGAAGUAAAGGGCUAAAUUGAAAAUAUAACAAAAUUUAGCGCCUAAAUUUCAAGGAAACAAAAUAUAAAGGAUUAAAUUAAAAUGGAAUAGAAAAUUUGGGCUCAAAGAGCAAUUAAUCCAAUCCGUGUCAUUUUCCUUGGGUUGAA
rnacentral:lncRNA from 1 species